UAGUGAUCCGGUGGUUCUGAAUGGAAGGGCCAUCGCUCAACGGAUAAAAGGUACUCCGGGGAUAACAGGCUGAUACCGCCCAAGAGUUCAUAUCGACGGCGGUGUUUGGCACCUCGAUGUCGGCUCAUCACAUCCUGGGGCUGAAGUAGGUCCCAAGGGUAUGGCUGUUCGCCAUUUAAAGUGGUACGCGAGCUGGGUUUAGAACGUCGUGAGACAGUUCGGUCCCUAUCUGCCGUGGGCGCUGGAAGAUUGAGAGGGGUUGCUCCUAGUACGAGAGGACCGGAGUGAACGCACCACUGGUGUACGGGUUGUGAUGCCAAUUGCAUUGCCCGGUAGCUAAGUGCGGAAGAGAUAACCGCUGAAAGCAUCUAAGCGGGAAACUUGCCUCGAGAUGAGUCUUCCCUGACCCUUUAAGGGUCCUGAAGGAACGUUUGAGACUAAGACGUUGAUAGGCUGGGUGUGUAAGCGCAGCGAUGCGUUGAGCUGACCAGUACUAAUGAACCGAGAGGCUUAACCUGACAACACCGAAGGUGUUU
rnacentral:rRNA from 1 species